CGAGAUCAUCAAGUUUCCCUUAAAACCCUGUUCCAGCAAAAGUAAGUAACCGGUUUCAGAUGCAUUUUGAUGAGGCUGCGCUGCAGGCAGGAUGCGGCUAUUUUAAAAGGCCUGAUGGAGGCUGGGCGGUGUUCUUCAUAAACGCCAAUCACAUGGCUCCCUGUUCUCGUGGAGUGUCGGGAUGGUUUGGAAACCCUGCGAGUACUUACGGCGAAUGACCACACCGGGACAGCUUGUCAGGAGGCAGGAGUGACAUCACCUGUCAGUUUCUCUGGCUCAGUUAGCCCUGCCCCAAAGGCCCUGCCAGUGCCCUGCAGCACUUUCCAGAAGGGCAGAGGGGCCUUGGAGGGGGAAGUUCCUUUGGGGGUCUGUAACCGUGCCUCAGCAGGGGUCUGGAAGGCCUCCCCACUCAUCACAGAAGCUUCCUAGACACCCAUGGGGAUGUGAAAAUGUGAUAGUGGCUGUGUCUCAGUUGGUAGAGUACUUGCCUAGAAUGCAUGAGGCCCUGGGUUCAAAUCCUGACCUGGCAGAGAACAAACCAUUCACCAACCAACCAACCAACCAACCAGUCACACAAACCCUCUUUGAACAAGAGCAAGACAGCAGAAGGAAGGGUGUAAAAGUUAAGUCUG
rnacentral:lncRNA from 1 species